UGAGAGGUAGGGCCUGAAGGAGCAUCUAUGUAAAUCAUUUGGAGUUUUUGCCUUUCCCCUUAGAAGAAAAAUAUGAAUGAUUUGACUGAACAGGCCUAUAGCCAAACCCAAGAUGAUCUUUCCAGGUGUGAACUCCAUCUUCAAACUUCUAAUCCUAAACCUUAAAGAAGAAACUAUGGCAAUGUCUCUU